AAAGAUUAAGCCAUGCAUGUCUAAGUAUAAGCAAUUAUACUGCGAAACUGCGAAUGGCUCAUUAUAUAAGUUAUCGUUUAUUUGAUAGUACCUUACUACUUGGAUAACCGUGGUAAUUCUAGAGCUAAUACAUGCUAAAAAUCCCGACUUCGGAAGGGAUGUAUUUAUUAGAUUAAAAACCAAUGCCCUUCGGGGCUCCUUGGUGAUUCAUGAUAACUGCUCGAAUCGCAUGGCCUUGUGCCGGCGAUGGCUCAUUCAAAUUUCUUCCCUAUCAACUUUCGAUGUUUGGGUAUUGGCCAAACAUGGUUGCAACGGGUAACGGAGGGUUAGGGCUCGACCCCGGAGAAGGAGCCUGAGAAACGGCUACUACAUCCAAGGAAGGCAGCAGGCGCGCAAAUUACCCAAUCCCGACACGGGGAGGUAGUGACAAUAAAUACUGAUACAGGGCUCUUUUGGGUCUUGUAAUUGGAAUGAGUACAAUUUAAAUCCCUUAACGAGGAACAAUUGGAGGGCAAGUCUGGUGCCAGCAGCCGCGGUAAUUCCAGCUCCAAUAGCGUAUAUUAAAGUUGUUGUGGUUAAAAAGCUCGUAGUUGAACCUUGGGCCUGGCUGGCCGGUCCGCCUCACCGCGUGUACUGGUCCGGCCGGGCCUUUCCCUCUGUGGAACCCCAUGCCCUUCACUGGGUGUGGCGGGGAAACAGGACUUUUACUUUGAAAAAAUUAGAGUGCUCCAGGCAGGCCUAUGCUCGAAUACAUUAGCAUGGAAUAAUAGAAUAGGACGUGUGGUUCUAUUUUGUUGGUUUCUAGGACCGCCGUAAUGAUUAAUAGGGACAGUCGGGGGCAUCAGUAUUCAAUUGUCAGAGGUGAAAUUCUUGGAUUUAUUGAAGACUAACUACUGCGAAAGCAUUUGCCAAGGAUGUUUUCAUUAAUCAGGAACGAAAGUUAGGGGAUCGAAGACGAUCAGAUACCGUCGUAGUCUUAACCAUAAACUAUGCCGACUAGGGAUCGGACGAUGUUAUUUUUUGACUCGUUCGGCACCUUACGAGAAAUCAAAGUGCUUGGGCUCCAGGGGGAGUAUGGUCGCAAGGCUGAAA
rnacentral:rRNA from 1 species